AAACAAUUACUAAAUGCAAAAAGAUAGGAUUCAGUUACACCUGCUCUCAUCCCUUAUAAUAAAAUGCAAAGUGUAUCGAAAUCCUGCGCAAACCGUUUCAAAUCAAAUUCUCAGUUACAAUGGCAUAAAAACAGAGACUAAAAUAAGAAAGGAGAAAAAUUCACCCCAAUAACCCGUAUCAAAUGAAAACCGCAAACCCAGUUGCAUUCAAGCCAGAGAAGAAAUCACCAUGGGAGAAAUAUAUAAAGGUGUUAGAGGCCGUACUAUUGAUUCAAAUCAGUUGUGGCUGAGAUGUGCCAAAUGAAAUAAUAGACUCUAAUUUCUUCGUCUAUAUGGUGAGUGCCGAAUUUGUUAUUAUUUUUUUAUGUCAAUUUGAAGUAUAGAUAUUUUUCCAGUAUUAGCUUUACUAUCAAGUGUCCAUAAAUUAUAGUAAUAACUUUAGCUUUUAGCUCACUAGCAUCUUCAUUAUCUGCAGUGAUGAACCGUUCUAUUCUGAGAACUAAAGCCAAUUUUACAAGCCUUGAUCCAUAACACUGUUUCGGCAAGGAACUGAAUAUACACGAGGAGAUGAAGAAUCUUUGAGAAGGCAUUACUGGAAUCACUCUACAAAACAUUGAUUUUGCUUCACCGGAGCAUCAGAAUAAUCUAAACAAAAAAUUGGAACGAUGGCUAAAUUCCAUUUCUUAUUUAUGGCUCCAAUAUGUGCUUCAAUUUGGCCCAUGCCCUCGGAAGGAGCAAUGGGAUUUUAUGCGUAUUCCAUUAUGUCAUUCUGUCGGAACACCAUCUUCUGCAGCUCUUUGGUCGUCCUCAAUGGCUCACCGUUAGAUGGCGAUCACAUACAUAUGUAAACAAGGUGGU